AGUGAACGCUGGCGGUAGGCCUAACACAUGCAAGUCGAACGGCAGCACAGUAAGAGCUUGCUCUUACGGGUGGCGAGUGGCGGACGGGUGAGGAAUGCAUCGGAAUCUACUUUUUCGUGGGGGAUAACGUAGGGAAACUUACGCUAAUACCGCAUACGACCUACGGGUGAAAGCAGGGGAUCUUCGGACCUUGCGCGAUUGAAUGAGCCGAUGUCGGAUUAGCUAGUUGGCGGGGUAAAGGCCCACCAAGGCGACGAUCCGUAGCUGGUCUGAGAGGAUGAUCAGCCACACUGGAACUGAGACACGGUCCAGACUCCUACGGGAGGCAGCAGUGGGGAAUAUUGGACAAUGGGCGCAAGCCUGACCCAGCCAUACCGCGUGGGUGAAGAAGGCCUUCGGGUUGUAAAGCCCUUUUGUUGGGAAAGAAAAGCAGCAGGUUAAUACCCAGCUGUUCUGACGGUACCCAAAGAAUAAGCACCGGCUAACUUCGUG
rnacentral:rRNA from 1 species